UGGCGGCAGGCCUAACACAUGCAAGUCGAGCGGUAACAGGGGUAGCUUGCUACCCGCUGACGAGCGGCGGACGGGUGAGUAAUGCAUAGGAAUCUGCCCGGUAGUGGGGGAUAACCUGGGGAAACCCAGGCUAAUACCGCAUACGUCCUACGGGAGAAAGGGGGCUUCGGCUCCCGCUAUUGGAUGAGCCUAUGUCGGAUUAGCUAGUUGGUGAGGUAAAGGCUCACCAAGGCAACGAUCCGUAGCUGGUCUGAGAGGAUGAUCAGCCACAUCGGGACUGAGACACGGCCCGAACUCCUACGGGAGGCAGCAGUGGGGAAUAUUGGACAAUGGGGGCAACCCUGAUCCAGCCAUGCCGCGUGUGUGAAGAAGGCCUUCGGGUUGUAAAGCACUUUCAGCGAGGAAGAACGCCUAGUGGUUAAUACCCAUUAGGAAAGACAUCACUCGCAGAAGAAGCACCGGCUAACUCCGUGCCAGCAGCCGCGGUAAUACGGAGGGUGCAAGCGUUAAUCGGAAUUACUGGGCGUAAAGCGCGCGUAGGUGGCUUGAUAAGCCGGUUGUGAAAGCCCCGGGCUCAACCUGGGAACGGCAUCCGGAACUGUCAAGCUAGAGUGCAGGAGAGGAAGGUAGAAUUCCCGGUGUAGCGGUGAAAUGCGUAGAGAUCGGGAGGAAUACCAGUGGCGAAGGCGGCCUUCUGGACUGACACUGACACUGAGGUGCGAAAGCGUGGGUAGCAAACAGGAUUAGAUACCCUGGUAGUCCACGCCGUAAACGAUGUCGACCAGCCGUUGGGUGCCUAGCGCACUUUGUGGCGAAGUUAACGCGAUAAGUCGACCGCCUGGGGAGUACGGCCGCAAGGUUAAAACUCAAAUGAAUUGACGGGGGCCCGCACAAGCGGUGGAGCAUGUGGUUUAAUUCGAUGCAACGCGAAGAACCUUACCUACUCUUGACAUCCUGC
rnacentral:rRNA from 1 species